CAGAGAGUAAAGGGAGCAGGUUUCUAGGCAUGAUAGCAUAGAUUCAAGGCAUAAUGUACAGACAAAGGUAUGGUAGGAUGUGAGUACAUUGGAGGUAAACCUAGUGGUGAGAGAGAUAUAGCCUCUAGAGACAUUUAAACCAGGUGAUGUCAUCGCAUAUGUAGGAGGUGGAACAACAUGGUUGGUUAAGGCAUAUUGAGCAGGGCUAGAGGCUCUACAGUGAAAUAAGACAGUAAUCACUAACCAGGACAGUAAUGGACAAGGCAGAAUGGGCCUGAGGGGGCCUGAGGGCAGAUUAUGUCGGUAUUCCAGUCGUGAAGGAUCAGCGGGGUUCCGUGCCCCGUACCGCCAGUAGAAGGGGUCCGGAUAUUGUAGCCGAGCAGGGGGCUUCAGGAGUAGCCCAGGAGCCCUAGCCGGGAGAUGGGUCUAGCAUGGGCUAGCCCCAGGCUAGUUGGUGCUUUCUCCGGGACGGAAACGUUAGCCAGGAGUAGCCCAGGAGCCCUAGCCAGGAGAUGGGUCUAGCAUGGGCUAGCCCCAGGCUAGUUGGUGCUUUCUCCGGGAUGGAAACGUUAGCCAGGAGUAGCCCAGGAGCCCUAGCCAGGAGAUGGGUCUAGCAUGGGCUAGCCCCAGGCUAGUUGGUGCUUUCUCCGGGACGGAAACGUUAGCCAGGAGUAGCCCAGGAGCCCUAGCCAGGAGAUGGGUCUACUAGCAUGGGCUAGCUCCAGGCUAGUUGGUGCUUUCUCCGGGACGGAAACGUUAGCCAGGAGUAGCCCAGGAGCCCUAGCCAGGAGAUGGGUCUAGCAUGGGCUAGCCCCAGGCUAGUUGGUGCUUUCUCCGGGACGGAAACGUUAGCCAGGAGUAGCCCAGGAGCCCUAGCCAGGAGAUGGGUCUAGCAUGGGCUAGCUCCAGGCUAGUUGGUGCUUUCUCCGGGACGGAAACGUUAGCCAGGAGUAGCCCAGGAGCCGUAGCCAGGAGAUGGGCCUAGCAUGGGCUAGCUCCAGGCUAGUUGGUGCUUUCUCCGGGACGGAAACGUUAGCCAGGAGUAGCCCAGGAGCCCUAGCCGGGAGAUGGGUCUAGCAUGGGCUAGCCCCAGGCUAGUUGGUGCUUUCUCCGGGACGGAAACGUUAGCCAGGAGUAGCCCAGGAGCCCUAGCCAGGAGAUGGGUCUAGCAUGGGCUAGCCCCAGGCUAGUUGGUGCUUUCUCCGGGACGGAAACGUUAGCCAGGAGUAGCCCAGGAGCCCUAGCCAGGAGAUGGGCCUAGCAUGGGCUAGCCCCAGGCUAGUUGGUGCUUUCUCCGGGACGGAAACGUUAGCCAGGAGUAGCCCAGGAGCCCUAGCCAGGAGAUGGGUCUAGCAUGGGCUAGCCCCAGGCUAGUUGGUGCUUUCUCCGGGACGGAAACGUUAGCCAGCAGUAGUCAACCCGGGUUGCGGUUAGGUAGCUGCCAUGAUCCAGAUGAAAAGGGUUCAGAGUUUGCGAGACAGCCAAACCUGGACGACGCUGGGCCAAUUGUACGCCGCCCUACGGGACUCCUAAUCACGACCAGAUGUGAUGCAGGCGGGAUUUGAACCAUGUACUGCAGUGUGACUCUCUGUUCUAGGUGUUUAUUCAUAGAUGUAAGAGCAUCUCUCGUCUCUAAUGUAGAAAACUCAUCUUCACAUAUGGACUUGAACUUAUCAGAAAUCAUUGGAACAUGACCAUGUACAUUUUAUGAAACAUGUUCACAUUCAAUCCGUUGAAAAGUAGAUUUAAACAGAUUUUUCAUAGAAAGAUUAACACAAAGUUAGAGAUGAUCUUUGGGGUCUUUACAAGGUACCGUCGAUAUUUAAGGCAGAAAUUGAUUUUCAUCCAUAUAGUUCUUAUUUUCUUCAAGAGCAAAACAUUAUCUUGUGUUUUUUUCCUCACCCUCGUCGACCCAUCUUGCCCCAGAUGUAGCAGAGGACCCUUUAGCUAAAUCAAUGUAUAUUUGAUCUAGUUCCUUUUACUGUUGUUUAAUGGCUAAUAGAUCUUACCUAGAGUUGAAAUAUUUCCCAUGGCUUUGGUUCUAAAUCAUUCUAAUUAAACAAGCCCCUGAUUAAGCCCUUUUGUGCUCUGGUUAAAAGACCGGAUGAUUUAGGAGUGAAUUAUUGAGGUUUCCAGGAUCCUCAAAUGCCACUGGAUUUGUCAGAACAGUCAAUAAUAUAAUUUUUAUGAUCAGUGAAAGCAGUGUGUUUAUGACUUACUUCUUGUACAUAGUAUUAAAAGUGGGGGAGAAAUGAGACACAGAACAACUCUGGAUCUGACCGUCACUGACCUAUUACACCAAGUGUAUUUCCUUUAAGUUUAUAUUAAAGAAAUGGCAUGUACAGUGAGGGGAAAAAAGUAUUUGAUCCCCUGCUGAUUUUGUACGUUUGCCCACUGAGUUCUGGAAUCUGAUUGAUUGAUUGCUUCUGUGGACAGGUGUAUUUAUUUAUUUUUUUACAGGUAACAAGCUGAGAUUAGGAGCACUCCCUUUAAGAGUGUGCUCCUGAUCUCAGCUCGUUACCUGUAUAAAAGACACCUGGGACCCAGAAAUCUUUCUGAUUGAGAGGGGGUCAAAUACUUAUUUCCCUCAUUAAAAUGCAAAUCAAUUUUAUAACAUUUUUGACAUGCGUUUUUCAGGAUUUUUUUGUUGUUGUUAUUCUG
rnacentral:lncRNA from 1 species